rnacentral:tRNA from 1 species
AAGAAGGUGACAGAGCGGUUAUGUGAUUGGCUUGAACCCAAUUAAUGGGGGUUCAACUCCCCCCUUUCUCG